UUUUCAGUGAGACUGAACGUGAGAUGGAGCUCCUCUUGAGUAGGGUUGCCUAUUGAGGGUAUGCUGCUGAGAUCCCUUACAUCUUAAUGUCAAGAGAUUCAUUAGUCCUUGGUUAAUGCAAAUGAGAGAAAUGGUGAUAUACCCUGCAACCACAGAACCAUGAAUUUAGAUGAGUCGUUAUUGGAAAUAAUUCAUGCUAAGUCAGUGAACUAUGGGCAGGAAGAUUGAAAUAUCCAGGAACCAACUGGUAAAGUUGAUAAAUAACAGUAAAUAAUAAGAAGAAUUUCAAAAUCAUCAUGACACAAGUGCCAUCCAGAGAACUGGAAAUGGAGAGGAAGAUCCACAGCAGAUCCUUCCUCAACUUCAAUCAAGAAUUUUUUACCAGCUUCUGUGCCCGAAGAGAUUGGUUAAAACCAGGCAGAUCCAGUAGUCUCUCCCUUCAGCUCGUCAUGCCUGAGGCAAGCUGAGACAGCUGUGCACUUUCACCAGGUUAAAACUAGGAAAUAAGCAAACAAACAAAUAUAUAACAGAAUCGCUUUGAAAUCAGUUCAGUUUUUUCCUAUAUUUGUUUUUGACCUGAUACAGUUCAGAGGAAUUUUUUUUUUUCAGAGAGUAUUUAGCUAAGAAAAGACCCCAAAUCUCCUAAACUUUUGAAAAACAGUUAAUGUAUUAUAUUCCCUUUAUUCUCUUUUUAAACGGCCAAAUGUUGUUAAGUACCUAUUACAGAUGUUAUUUGAGUUGCAUUACAAUGUUUUUUACAUGUAUAGCAGACCACAUUGAACAGAAACCUCUAAUCAACUAGUCAGAGUAUCUAAAUGUUUUUCUUUCAAAUUUGUAUAAUGGCUUUCCUUUAAACAUUUUAAAAAAUGUAGGUUACUUUUAAGUAGAUGUAGAUUAUGUGAUAAACAAUGAAGGUUUUACUAAAGUUUAUCCUACAUUGUAAUUUCUGAGUUGCAUUCAACCCUGAGCCCUUAACGAGCAAGUAUUCGUUUUGCAAGUUUACAAAACUGGUUCUUUGAUACUGUUCUAGUUCGUUGUUUCUAUUUGUUGCUGCAACUAUACUGAUGAGAAGUUUGUUAUGUUACAGAUAAUGGGCUCAAAAUCUACAAAAUAAAGAGAUUAAAAUUGAGUAGGAUAUAAUAAAUCUAUGGCAGUUUAUGACAUCAUAAACUACAGCAUCUACCACAUCAACAUUGUCUUAGCAGCCACAAUGUGUAAAAGCUGAAAAAGUGUUGCCAGACCUUCCAGCACUUACAUUGGUUUGAUGAUGGUUUCUUACAGCUCUGAACCAAGAUUAAGUUGUAAGGCAGAAGGAGUAAUACCAGUAAAAAUAUAACGCCUAUUUCAGUGACUGUAAAUGAAUAUGAAACUUAUUUUCAAUUAGAUAAAGGCUUGCUCAUAAAAAUAAGGAAGUGUGGAGUGGGCCUAAAUUAGUAUGCUAACAGUUUAGAGCUAUGAGUGAAUUCUUUUAAUACUUGUUGAGCUGAGUAUAAGGGAUGAGCUUUGAGGCACAAAAUCAUUUAAUCCAUCAUGACAAAGCAGGAAGGGAACUUCUUAAGUAACAAAAGGCCAGGCCACACAUUUGCCAUUUCAAGGUAUGAAGGAAAGGAUAACAUUUCCCACUUUAGAACUUUGCCCUUUAGAUUGUUAAGUGCUCUUUUUUAUUUUUUAUUUUUGGUCUAGAGGGAGAAGUUAAAAGUUUCCUCACUUCUGUCUAGAAAUCCAAUAAAGUUUUAUUUCAGUAUAACCCUUUCCAAAGCUCAGUUUAGAGUAAUUUAGUAUCCUUAUUGCUAUCAAAAUAAAUGCUUCCUGAAGCAGAACCUCUUUCAUUUCUUGAAAAUUAAUAGAUUUUUUUUUCAACUUAUGCUCAUGCAUUCAAGAGUACAUUAGCAACAUUGUUUUUCUAAAGCAGUACAAAGUUAUGUAAUGAUCCCUUUAUUAAUUUUCAUUGCCACAAUUCAAGCUGUGUAACACUUAAUAUUAGACAGUGUGAAAGGAAAAUUCAGAGUUCACAUUUUCAAACAGAGUGUAAUGGAAUAUCUAAUCUGCUACUAUUACAGAUACAGAAAGGCAACUGUGAGUUGAGCUCUAAAUUGCUUACAGGCUCUUGUGUAGUUUUACAUUUGUCUAACUGUACCAUGGAAUAAACAACAAAAAUCCUUGCUUAAAGCAGUUUUCUUUCUGGCAGGGUCAUUCACACAUACAGAAAAAAUCUUUAUGUUUUUGAAAACACUUGAGCAUUCUGUGUCUUGCUGUCUAAAGUCUGUGUCAACUCAGUUGUUGCGUUUUCAGACUUCUUGUCUACAUUUCUUUCCUUCAUGUUUGCCUAGCAGGCAUAUGCCCACGCUCCCACCUCUCUUACAAGGAUCUAGAUUGUGACUGGUGUAUUAAAGCAUCUGUGGUGAGCUUUGGGAAUAACUCUGGGGAAAACAGUGUAUUUUAUAUUUUUAUAGGAUGUCAUUAAUCACAGAUGAUAUAUACAAAGUCUUCUCUGUCAUUUGAGUCAUGAGGUUGACUACCGUUGUUAUUGAUAUCUUUUGUGUAGUUUGAGAGUUCCAUAAAAGCAUUUGUGAGAUGAAAUAAGAUACAAAAUUGGAUUUAAAUUUACGCAGUUGAACAUCAAAGGUACUGUUGACUAUUAGCCUGCUCAAAAAAUCUCAUUUUAUUUUCACUUUAAAUGGAAGUGACAGUUGACAAAUGUAAAGAAAAAAAAUAACGCACAACAGGAUAAUGCUAGAUUUGUACAUCAGCUAACUUCAGAGAGGAGAACAGAGCAAGGCUGUGAUUACUUUUUUUGUGUGUUAUAUUUAAA